AUUGAACGCUGGCGGCAGGCCUAACACAUGCAAGUCGAGCGGAUGAGAAGAGCUUGCUCUUCGAUUCAGCGGCGGACGGGUGAGUAAUGCCUAGGAAUUUGCCUGGUAGUGGGGGACAACGUUUCGAAAGGAACGCUAAUACCGCAUACGUCCUACGGGAGAAAGCAGGUGACCUUUGGGCCUUGCGCUAUCAGAUGAGCCUAGGUCGUAUUAGCUAGGUGGUGAGGUAAUGGCUCACCACGCCGACGAACCGUAACUAGUCUGAGAGGAUGAUCAGUGACACUGGAACUGAGACACGGUCCAGACUACUACGGGAGGCAGCAGUGGGGAAGAUUGGGCAAUGGACGAAAGCCUGAUCCAGCCAUGCCGCGUGUGUGAAGAAGGUCUUCGGAUUGUAAAGCACUUUAAGUUGGGAGGAAGGGCAGUAAGUUAAUACCUUGCUGUUUUGACGUUACCGACAGAAUAAGCACCGGCUAACUCUGUGCCAGCCGCCGCCGUAAGAC
rnacentral:rRNA from 1 species